rnacentral:lncRNA from 1 species
CUCCCCAUCACCAUGGGCCACAUGUCAGCAUCUGGGCUAACCUGGACAACACAAUUCCCUCAGUACACCAAGCAUGAGGCUAUCCAUAAGAAACCCAUCAAACAGUGGCGCUGGCAGCUGCUGGAGGUGCAGAAGACAAAGGCUGUGCAGUCUAUGCCCUCGGGAGCCCAAACCAAACAUCUGACCUGAGUUUCUCAGGACCAGGGGGAAGCAGAGCCAUGAGAUUGAAAAAGAGGGGCAAUUCUUCUACAUGCUCUCAUCUGUGUGAGUAUGGCUAAAUUUCUGUUCAUGUAC